rnacentral:rRNA from 1 species
UGCCAGCCGCCGCGGUAAUACGGAGGGGGUUAGCGUUGUUCGGAAUUAUUGGGCGUAAAGGGCAUGUAGGCGGAUCUGCAAGCUUGGUGUGAAAUGUCAAGGCUUAACUUUGGCACUGCAUUGAGAACUGGCAGUCUUGAGUCCUGGAGAGGAGAGCGGAAUUCCUAGUGUAGAGGUGAAAUUCGUAGAUAUUAGGAGGAACACCAGCGGCGAAAGCGGCUCUCUGGACAGUGACUGACGCUGAGGCACGAAAGCAUAGGUAGCAAACAGGAUUAGAUA